UUGUGGUUAAAAAGCUCGUAGUUGGAUCUCGGCGGACUGAGGGCGGUUUGCUUGCUAGUAUUACUGCCCUAUAGUCCGUAGUUUUGCCAGAGGUUUCGGGGUGCUCUUAAUCGAGUGUCCCGGGAUGCUGGCAGGUUUACUUUGAAAAAAUUAGAGUGCUCAAAGCAGGCUAUUACGCCUGAAUAUUCGUGCAUGGAAUAAUAGAAUAGGAAGUCGUUUCUAUUUUGUUGGUUUUCGGAAAUCGACUUAAUGAUUAAUAGGGACAGUCGGGGGCAUUUGUAUUCAAACGACAGAGGUGAAAUUCUUGGACCGUUUGAAGACAAACUACUGCGAAAGCAUUUGCCAAGAAUGUUUUCAUUAAUCAAGAACGAAAGUUAAAGGUUCGAAGGCGAUUAGAUACCGCCCUAGUUUUAACCAUAAACGGUGCCAGCUAGCGAUCUGCGGACGUUUUUUUUGUAGACUCCGCAGGAAGCUUCCGGGAAACCAAAGCAUUUGGGUUCCAGGGGAAGUAUGGUUGCAAAGCUGAAACUUAAAGGAAUUGACGGAAGGGCACCACCAGGAGUGGAGCCUGUGGCUUAAUUUGACUCAACACGGGAAAUCUCACCAGGCCCGGACACUGGAAGGAUUGACAUAUUGAUAGCUCUUUCUUGAU
rnacentral:rRNA from 1 species